GUGAGACUUGUUCUCUCUGUUAGUGAGAGAUUUUCUCUAUGUUUAGUGCGUCUAGUUUCUCCGAGUAGCAGAAUUAUGGCCUCCCCUGCUCAAUUGGGUAGGAUAGGGCUUCUCCGCAGUCAAAGUAUGGGUCUUCCCUCCCCAACUCAAUUUGGGUUGUGCAUAGUUGUCUUUGCGUUUUUGCUUGCAGAUAGAUUGUUUAAUGGUGAGAGAUUUGUGCUGAUCUACUGUUGAUUUCUCUAUGGCUCGACUCAGGGGGUUUCUCCAGUUGGCUAACAACUCAAGGGAUAUCGUGACCGUUCGAUGUUGGUCAUCAGUCUUAGGCUAUAGGAGAUUGACAUGCUUGAGUUUCUGCCUUAUCAUUCCCAAUUCAUCCGGCAUCUACAUGGGUCUUGCUCUUUUUCAGUGGAUGAUAGUUCUUCUAGUUUAACUAUGCCUAGGGGAUGAUGAUAUCUGUCCAAGACUUACUAAUUAGAUUUGAGCUAACUGUUUUUACCUUGAAUGUCCUCAGAGGUCUUGGUAUUAAAUUUCUAGAGAUAUGAUCAUCUCUCCUUGGUAGCAAGUGGAGGGGUGGUGGAUUUACUGUUGCUUCAUUUAUGCUGGGUUAAAUGCGAGUCAAACAUUUUGAUUGUUCUAAGGUUUCUUUGUAAGGACUUUGAGCCAUAUGAGUUUUGGGCUUGGGUGUUAAAAUUGCUAGUCAUUGUUGUAGCUCUAUCCAUAUAGUUAAACUUUCAUAUAAUGAAACGGUGCUUUUGCUAAAAAAAAUUCAAUAAAAAUUUUU
rnacentral:misc_RNA from 1 species